rnacentral:rRNA from 1 species
GACGUAGGGGGCCAGCGUUGCUCGGAAUUACUGGGCGUAAAGGGUCCGUAGGCGGUGCGGUAAGUCGGGAGUGAAAUCUCUGGGCUUAACUCAGAGGCUGCUUCCGAAACUGCCGUGCUAGAGUGCGAGAGAGGCAAGUGGAAUUGCGGGUGUAGCGGUGAAAUGCGUAGAUAUCAGGAGGAACACCGGUGGCGAAGGCGGAUCUCUGGGCCAUUACUGACGCUGAGGAGCGAAAGCGUGGGGAGCGAACAGG